rnacentral:ncRNA from 2 species
GGGCCGGGUUGACUCGGCGGCUCCCGAGGGACGUAAGAGCGAAGUCCGGUUCGAUUCCGGCGCUGUUCCCGCAACUGUGAAGCCCCGAAGUGGGACGAGUCAGGUCGCCUGCCGCCGGGUCGGAUGUGGA